UUGCUUUGGCAGCACAUAUACUAAAAUUGGAACAAAACAGAGAAGAUUAGCAUGGCCCCUGUGCAAGGAUGACACACAAAUUUGUGAAGCAUUCCAUAUUUUU
rnacentral:snRNA from 1 species